ACUCAAAUGAAUUGACGGGGACCCGCACAAGCAGCGGAGCGUGUGGUUUAAUUCGAUGCGACGCGAAGAACCUUACCUGGGCUUGACAUGCAUUUGCAACCUGGGGAAACCUAGGCCUCCGCAAGGACAGAUGCACAGAUGCUGCAUGGCUGUCGUCAGCUCGUGUCGUGAGAUGUUGGGUUAAGUCCCGCAACGAGCGCAACCCUUGUCUCUAGUUGCAUUUCUAGAGAGACUGCCGGAAACAAACCGGAGGAAGGUGGGGAUGACGUCAAGUCAGCAUGGCUCUUACGUCCAGGGCUACACACACGCUACAAUGGACCGUACAGCGAGAAGCCAUUCCGCGAGGAAGAGCAGACCUCUGAAAGCGGUCCCCAGUUCAGAUUGCAGUCUGCAACCCGACUGCAUGAAGGCGGAGUUGCUAGUAACCGCGUGACAGCACAGCGCGGUGAAUAUGUUCCCGGGUCUUGCACACACCGCCCGU
rnacentral:rRNA from 1 species